rnacentral:tRNA from 2 species
GCGCCCGUAGCUCAGGCGGAUAGAGCAGCGGUUUCCUAAACCGCGUGUCGGGAGUUCGAGUCUCUCCGGGCGCGCCA